CAGAUAACGUUUAAAAAGCAACAAGACCUUAGGUUUCCUGUGCCUGCAGAUGUCCGAAAGAUGAAAACACGCACCCGUUUACCCUCAUAAUUUGGGGUGGCUCCUCAGUUCCCAUCAAAGCCAUUCCAUCAUGGCCAAGACUUCCUGAUCAACACAGGAAAGCUCCAGCCCUCUGUAAGUUCCCCCCCUUUCUUUUUCCCCCAAUUAUAUCCAACCUAUAGUGCUGACUUUUGCCCCUCAAAGUACUUUGUGGUUGUUGAACACAUAAUAAUUGGGCGAAUCUCUUUGGGAAGAAGUCCCACAGAUUGUCAGAAAAAAGGCUGGCAGUCCAGUUCCAGAGACUCCGACUCCUGGUGUCAUGCUGUACAUCACUACAUUAUUCUUAUCAUAAUGGCUUGGCAAGAAGUAAAAAAUCCCAUUUGCUAGAAAACCUUUCAGGUCUGGGAUCCAAGUGUGGGAACAUGCCCUAACUCAGUUGUGCAGAGCUCAAGAAUACUCCAGGGUGCACUUCCUGCAUGAGGCCAAUUAUGAGAGCAAGGAGAAAACUGACUCAUAACCUCUAGAGACAGACUCAGGCUCUUCUGGAAUCCCACAGAAUGUUCUCCUACCAGACUGUUGUAGUUAGCACUCUGAAACAGACAUCCUACUUUAAAACUAAAGGGCUGGCUUCUUCAAGGAAUUUUGAUAGACGUGAACAUGAGCCAAAGGGUAGGCCAAACUUGUACAACCUACAUAAUUCACCAAGCUUGGCAAUAAAACACCUUCCACAGCACUUAUGUGGAUGGUACAAGACAGACCCACAUGUUGCCAUUUUAAAUCACUAAACCAGGGACAAAGUUGUUAAUACAAUAAGACUCAUCACCACCACAGCCUAGAUUGACUACAAAGUUUAAAGAAAAAAAAGGAUGCCCAUGUAAUAGGACACGAAAAACCACUAUCAAUAUGAGGUAUGAGAACACAGCCCUGUGCUAGGUAGUUGACUAAGCUCUGAGAAUAUAAAGGCAACGUGGGACCAGUCCACACCUAAGUCAAAGUAUUACUAGGGCUAGCCCAGACAUCCUCCCUGGCUGGCAGUAAUGCUUCAGUCGUGUCUUUAACAAAAGACUAGAGACUUGCCAGCUAUUGCAGGGCAGAUGGAACAGGCAUGGCGGCUUCAAGCAGAGAGGCCUACUGGAGAAAUGUAAGGAGUUCCAUGUAGCCAGCAAGUUGGAGAGGUAGGCAGCAGGCCAAUUACAAAGGGCACCAUACACUGCUGGAGAGUUUAAGGGUUAUCUUUGAGGCAACUGAGGAGACUUUUCAAGAGUUCAAAUCAGGGGUUUGAUCAGAUUUGCACUCCAGAAGGAUGACUCUCUGAUAGAAGCAUAGAGACAGGACUCUAUUAAGAGCAAAGGUUAAGAGGUCACAGCAAUAGUACAGGCAAAAAAUUGUAGAGGCCUGAACUGAGGCCAGGGUCAGAGACAAGAGGGGGAAGGAGCUCAGAAAUGUUAAAAGAGAUAAAAUCUAUAGAGAGCACUGACUGGCUUGGAAAAAGGGGUGAGAGGGAAAGGGGACAGUGUAAGAUGAGCCAGGUUCCAGGCUUGGGUGACUGGGUGCAUGGAGAAAUGGCAGCUGGAAGCAAGUGGCUCGCAGCAAUCAGCUAACAGAGCUGGUCCUCAGCUGGAAAGUGAUGGCGAAACCACUCGAGUGGACGGGCCAUGGUCCAGAGGACGAGACCUUGAGGAGCAGCAGGUGUAACGGGGGAGAAGCAUGUAGAUGGGCAAGGCAGAGGUUAGGGGAACCAGGGAGUCACAGGAAGGAAGGGCUUUCAAAAGGAAUGGGUAAGACUGUCCAAUCCUGGGAGAGGCUAAGUAAGAUAAGAGUUCAGAGCUCCACAGAAGGGAGGGUGGCCUUUGUCAGACAGAAUGGGGGGCAUGACGUGCAGGGCAAGGAGUGUGGCUGAGAAGUGUUGAACAGAGGUAGUAAGCACGGAUACUUCCUCUAAAAAGCUCCACUAUGACGGGGCAGAGAGAGCAGAGACAACCUACAGUAGGGCACAGAAUCCAGGAGAGACUUUGUGUGUUCUGUUUUUGUUUUUGUUU